CGCGCGAUUUUUAUGUGUAUCUAUCAUUUUUCUCAUUCUAACAUUCACAAAAUUUUUCAUUCUGCCUCGCUCUUCUGGGUGUUGGUCUGUAUUUGCUUGCGACUUGGCUGUGUCGCAUCAACGAUUCGCAUGUUUCAUUUAGCUCAUCCCUUUCCAUCGUUGGAGAGAAACUCUUGCGUCUCGCUUUUCUGGGACUUGUCCAAAUUCGCUUGCUACACCAAUCGUUCACGCAAGCGUUCUCCUCUCGCCCGCUCUUUGUAUCAUUGUACAGGUACUCCCCGAUAUACGUAUCGGCAAUAGCGUAUCUCGAAUAUUCAAUAGCGAAAGUCGAAUUUCGAGGUUUUCAGUCAAAUUAUAACUAAUAUCCGUAGAACUUUGCAUGAAGUGGUAGGUUUUAGUCACUAAACCUACCACUAUCGAAUGGUUAAAAACCAUUUCAAAUGGUAUAAAAUUGAAAAAUUCAGUUGAAAUUAGAUCAAAUAACUAAUACGCUUACGUAAAUUUGACGGUUCUUUGAACAAGUAGUACUAAUUUUAGAAAUCGAAUGUCAAAUGCAAAAUAAAUUCCCUUUUGGUUGAAUAUUAAAAACCAUUUCAAAUGGUAUAAAAUUGAAAAAUUCAGUUGAAAUUAGAUCAAAUAACUAAAUCAACUAACUAACCAAAUAGUUAUUUGAUCUAAUUUCAACUGAAUUUUUCAAUUUUAUACCAUUUGAAAUGGUUUUUAAUAUUCAACCAUAAGGGAAUUUAUUUUGCAUUUGACAUUCGAUUUCUAAAAUUAGUACUACUUGUUCAAAGAACCGUCAAAUUUAGAAAAAAAGCGUAUAGCGAAAUCGUGUAUAUCGAGUAUGGCGUAUAUCGGGGAAUACCUGUAUAGCCACACGAGGAAGGCGCUGCUUCGCGUUCACAUGAAAAUGUGGUAGUGUGAAAUCAAGUUUGCAAGCGGUAGGACGCGUCGGUGUGUGUCCGUUUUUUCUCUCGUGAAACCAGUACGGAAAAACUGUUUGGUAAGUACAGUUUUUAAUAAAGGGUUAUUUCAAUCUUUAUCAAACUGAAUUGUAUUGAUAAUUGUGAUAUAAAAUCAAUUUCGUUUUUUUAAAGAAAUCGUAACAUACGCACGAACGGAAGUGAGCACGGACCACAACAGAAGCAAUAUUCAAUUGGUUGGAGUGCCGAAAACAGAACAGGAGAGGAAAGAAGGCAGGAACGAUUCGAUCCUCCAACGUGCUAGCGCCUGGUAGAGGAGAAGCGGCAGGAAGGUAGAGACGAACAUCCAGCUCGCUAGCGCAGCACGUGGGAGCAGCAAGAGGGAAGCAAGCAGGACGCGUACACACCAUUCGACGAAGGCAAAGCUGGAGGAAAGGAAGAACGAGGAGAGAAGGCAGGCAAGACGGGUACGUGUGUAUCCCGCACCGGUUUUAGGCAGUGUGAAUUGUGUGAGUAUGUAAAUAUGUAUGUGCGAGUAAGAAGGUAAAAUAAAGAGCGUAAGCAUGUGCAGAAUGGACAAAAGAGA